GACAGAUAGAUAGAUAUGUGUGUAUGCAUACAUGUAUAUAUAUACACACACACACAUUUUGUUAAAACCUUGUGUCUUUACAUUGUAAUUAUCUCUCUUGUUAACCCACCAGGACUGAACCAUUUCUUAUGACAAAGAAAUACAAUUCAGCAAAAACAUUUGCUUCAAAAGCUCUGACGGUGUAUAUGAUAUUCUCACCAAGUAGUCUGCCUCCUCAUUUCUAUGAGAGAGAGUGGGUCUGUUUCAUUCAGAGCUCUGUCUCUGGCAUUAGAGGACCUAUGUUUAAAACCUCCUCAGAUGCUUUCACUACCUGAGUGAGCUUAGAAAUGGUGACUGGCAUGAUCUGGGAAGACGUGGAUAAACUGAAAUAGAGGGAAGUGAAUGGAACAAAAAUAAUUUGUGCAGUGACUGCAACAUUGUUAAGAAACACAACUUGGAAGACUUCAGAAGGCCAAUCAAUGAAGUGACCAGUCCCUCAUGACUCCCAUGAGCUGAUGACAAAGCUGGCUUUGCCUUGACAGAGGAAAGAAAGCAUUUCCAUGUUUGCUUGGAGUCAAGGCUCUGGCCCAUCAAAGAUGAAAAAUGGAGGCAAAAUGGAGGUAAGAGCUAGGUGAGAUGACAGAAAGGUCACAUUUAUUAUCAAAGAGCAAAGUUGUUUGCAUUAAAGUCUCAACUGGACUUUAUUCUUUCCAUACCCACUACUGAAAACCAGAAUCAUGUCAGAGUUGCAAAAACAUGAUAGAAACAUUUUACA